rnacentral:lncRNA from 1 species
CUGUCCGAUCAAAGCCUUAUCCAUCCAUACGUUCAAUGAAAAAGAGGGAAGAGCGCGCCGGAGCGCGCGAAGCUGAAGUAGCGAAACCGUCUGUUGCGGAAAUAUGCCCAACGAAAGUUCUAAGACGCGUUUAGAUGCUUCGUGCCCGUGCUCUGACAUCACGUUAUCACCAGAAUGUCACAACGUAAUGGAUCUUCGAAGCGCCAACGAGUAUAACAUGACGACUAAGCUACACACAUGGACAUUACCCAUAUACCUGAAUAACAGUGCGGACAAUGUAUCGAUCAAUGUUCAGCUAGUGCCAGAACUCCGGUGGAAUGGAGGGACCUUGCCAUGAGUGUCGAUGGUCUGAAGCAGGCCGAGACAUUGCAUAUGUUGCUGACAGGACUAUCGACCUGAAGUGUUUUGCACUGCUUCGCUUGUUGGCUUAAUUGAGCUGGAAUAUUCUGAGAACUGCUGAAGUCUUGUCGUUACCUUAUCGUGAUACAGGCAUGCCUUCACUGACAUGUAUAUGUUUCAUGUGUUAACAUUUCAACAAUAUUUUUCAAAUGUCAUAUGGUAAAUUUCUCAUGCCAAUAAAGUGAUGAUCUUCU